GACGAACGCUGGCGGCGCGCCUAACACAUGCAAGUCGAGCGAGAACCGGGGCUUCGGCCCCGGGGACAGCGGCGAACGGGUGAGUAACACGUGGGUAACCUGUCCUCGGCACCGGGAUAGCGCGGGGAAACCCGGAUUAAUACCGGACGGCCUCCGGAGCCUGCGGGCGACGGAGAAAAGGUGGCUUCGGCUUCCGGCUGAGGAGGGGCCUGCGGCGGAUUAGCUUGUUGGCGGGGUAACGGCCCACCAAGGCGACAAUCCGUAGCUGGUCUGAGAGGACGAUCAGCCACACUGGGACUGAGACACGGCCCAGACUCCUACGGGAGGCAGCAGUGGGGAAUCUUGCGCAAUGGGCGAAAGCCUGACGCAGCGACGCCGCGUGCGGGAAGAAGGCCUUCGGGUUGUAAACCGCUUUCAGGAGGGACGAAGCCACUCGGGUGAAUAGCCCAGAGGGUGACGGUACCUCCAGAAGAAGCCCCGGCUAACUACGUGCCAGCCGCCGCGGUAAUAC
rnacentral:rRNA from 1 species